rnacentral:rRNA from 1 species
UUAAAUUGAAGAGUUUGAUCAUGGCUCAGAUUGAACGCUGGCGGCAGGCCUAACACAUGCAAGUCGAACGGUAACAGGAAGCAGCUUGCUGCUUUGCUGACGAGUGGCGGACGGGUGAGUAAUGUCUGGGAAACUGCCUGAUGGAGGGGGAUAACUACUGGAAACGGUGGCUAAUACCGCAUAACGUCGCAAGACCAAAGAGGGGGACCUUCGGGCCUCUUGCCAUCAGAUGUGCCCAGAUGGGAUUAGCUUGUUGGUGAGGUAACGGCUCACCAAGGCGACGAUCCCUAGCUGGUCUGAGAGGAUGACCAGCCACACUGGAACUGAGACACGGUCCAGACUCCUACGGGAGGCAGCAGUGGGGAAUAUUGCACAAUGGGCGCAAGCCUGAUGCAGCCAUGCCGCGUGUAUGAAGAAGGCCUUCGGGUUGUAAAGUACUUUCAGCGGGGAGGAAGGUGUUGUGGUUAAUAACCGCAGCAAUUGACGUUACCCGCAGAAGAAGCACCGGCUAACUCCGUGCCAGCAGCCGCGGUAAUACGGAGGGUGCAAGCGUUAAUCGGAAUUACUGGGCGUAAAGCGCACGCAGGCGGUCUGUCAAGUCGGAUGUGAAAUCCCCGGGCUCAACCUGGGAACUGCAUUCGAAACUGGCAGGCUUGAGUCUUGUAGAGGGGGGUAGAAUUCCAGGUGUAGCGGUGAAAUGCGUAGAGAUCUGGAGGAAUACCGGUGGCGAAGGCGGCCCCCUGGACAAAGACUGACGCUCAGGUGCGAAAGCGUGGGGAGCAAACAGGAUUAGAUACCCUGGUAGUCCACGCCGUAAACGAUGUCUACUUGGAGGUUGUGCCCUUGAGGCGUGGCUUCCGGAGCUAACGCGUUAAGUAGACCGCCUGGGGAGUACGGCCGCAAGGUUAAAACUCAAAUGAAUUGACGGGGGCCCGCACAAGCGGUGGAGCAUGUGGUUUAAUUCGAUGCAACGCGAAGAACCUUACCUGGUCUUGACAUCCACAGAACUUUCCAGAGAUGGAUUGGUGCCUUCGGGAACUGUGAGACAGGUGCUGCAUGGCUGUCGUCAGCUCGUGUUGUGAAAUGUUGGGUUAAGUCCCGCAACGAGCGCAACCCUUAUCCUUUGUUGCCAGCGAUUAGGUCGGGAACUCAAAGGAGACUGCCAGUGAUAAACUGGAGGAAGGUGGGGAUGACGUCAAGUCAUCAUGGCCCUUACGACCAGGGCUACACACGUGCUACAAUGGCGCAUACAAAGAGAAGCGACCUCGCGAGAGCAAGCGGACCUCAUAAAGUGCGUCGUAGUCCGGAUUGGAGUCUGCAACUCGACUCCAUGAAGUCGGAAUCGCUAGUAAUCGUGGAUCAGAAUGCCACGGUGAAUACGUUCCCGGGCCUUGUAUACACCGCCCGUCACACCAUGGGAGUGGGUUGCAAAAGAAGUAGGUAGCUUAACCUUCGGGAGGGCGCUUACCACUUUGUGAUUCAUGACUGGGGUGAAGUCGUAACAAGGUAACCGUAGGGGAACCUGCGGUUGGAUCACCUCCUUACCUUAAAGAA